rnacentral:rRNA from 1 species
GACGAACGCUGGCGGCGUGCUUAACACAUGCAAGUCGAACGGAAAGGCCCUGCUUUUGUGGGGUGCUCGAGUGGCGAACGGGUGAGUAGCACGUGAGUAACCUGCCCUUGACUUUGGGAUAACUUCAGGAAACUGGGGCUAAUACCGGAUAGGAGCUCCUGCUGCAUGGUGGGGGUUGGAAAGUUUCGGCGGUUGGGGAUGGACUCGCGGCUUAUCAGCUUGUUGGUGGGGUAGUGGCUUACCAAGGCCUUGACGGGUAGCCGGCCUGAGAGGGUGACCGGCCACAUUGGGACUGAGAUACGGCCCAGACUCCUACGGGAGGCAGCAGUGGGGAAUAUUGCACAAUGGGCGGAAGCCUGAUGCAGCAACGCCGCGUGCGGGAUGACGGCCUUCGGGUUGUAAACCGCUUUCGCCUGUGACGAAGCGUGAGUGACGGUAAUGGGUAAAGAAGCACCGGCUAACUACGUGCCAGCAGCCGCGGUGAUACGUAGGGUGCAAGCGUUGUCCGGAUUUAUUGGGCGUAAAGGGCUCGUAGGUGGUUGAUCGCGUCGGAAGUGUAAUCUUGGGGCUUAACCCUGAGCGUGCUUUCGAUACGGGUUGACUUGAGGAAGGUAGGGGAGAAUGGAAUUCCUGGUGGAGCGGUGGAAUGCGCAGAUAUCAGGAGGAACACCAGUGGCGAAGGCGGUUCUCUGGGCCUUUCCUGACGCUGAGGAGCGAAGGCGUGGGGAGCGAACAGGCUUAGAUACCCUGGUAGUCCACGCUGUAAACGGUGGGUACUAGGUGUGGGGUCCAUUCCACGGGUUCCGUGCCGUAGCUAACGCUUUAAGUACCCCGCCUGGGGAGUACGGCCGCAAGGCUAAAACUCAAAGGAAUUGACGGGGCCCCGCACAAGCGGCGGAGCAUGCGGAUUAAUUCGAUGCAACGCGUAGAACCUUACCUGGGUUUGACAUGGAUCGGGAGUGCUCAGAGAUGGGUGUGCCUCUUUUGGGGUCGGUUCACAGGUGGUGCAUGGCUGUCGUCAGCUCGUGUCGUGAGAUGUUGGGUUAAGUCCCGCAACGAGCGCAACCCUUGUUCACUGUUGCCAGCACGUUAUGGUGGGGACUCAGUGGAGACCGCCGGGGUCAACUCGGAGGAAGGUGGGGAUGACGUCAAGUCAUCAUGCCCCUUAUGUCCAGGGCUUCACGCAUGCUACAAUGGCUGGUACAGAGAGUGGCGAGCCUGUGAGGGUGAGCGAAUCUCGGAAAGCCGGUCUCAGUUCGGAUUGGGGUCUGCAACUCGACCUCAUGAAGUCGGAGUCGCUAGUAAUCGCAGAUCAGCAACGCUGCGGUGAAUACGUUCCCGGG